rnacentral:antisense_RNA from 1 species
AUGCUUAAUUCAAAAAAUAUUUGAGUACCUGCAGUGUUCCCCAUGCUACAUACUGGGCUUAAACAGCCAAAAAGACACAGUCUUUGACCUCAAAAUACUUUGAUUCUUGUAAGAAAAACUGACAAAGACAAAGAGAAGGCAAUGUGAAAACUUCUACAGUUGGGAUAACCUUGGAGGUUACAGGAUGUGGACUCACUGAAAGCUUUCUGCUGGACUUGAAGCUGCAGUCUGAAGGACAGACGGGUGUUGCUUAGUGAAGGGAAAGUAGGAAGCAAAGACCCCUGGACAGAGUGUAGCAGGCACAGAGGGAGCAUGACACCUCCGGGAGAGAGCCGCAAGCACCUGGGCCCAGAUCCCAGCUUUAGCUUCAUUAGCCCUGUGAACUCUGUAUGUCAGCCUUGACAUAGAAAAAAAGAGGAUUCUAAACCUCCAUCUUAAAAGAGACUUGGAAGAAGCUGGGAUUAUAGGCACACCACCACACCUGGCCCCAGAAAAGGGAAUCCUUGACCUGCAAGAAUCGAGGAAUAUUGUUUCUGACAUGCUCAGUGGACCUACUGCUGGUAUUCUUAACCAUUUCCCUCCUAAGUGGAACUUCUUUUGAGGUUAAUGUUUAUAUACAAUUACUUUAACAUUGGAUUUGGGAAAUGGAACAACCUACUGCGGAUCUUU